GGCGAGUGAAGCGGCAACAGCUCAAAUUUGAAAUCUGGCGUAAGCCCGAGUUGUAAUUUGUAGAGGAUGCUUCUGGGUAGCGGCCGGUCUAAGUUCCUUGGAACAGGACGUCAUAGAGGGUGAGAAUCCCGUAUGUGACUGGCUUGCACCCUCCACGUAGCUCCUUCGACGAGUCGAGUUGUUUGGGAAUGCAGCUCUAAAUGGGAGGUAAAUUUCUUCUAAAGCUAAAUACCGGCCAGAGACCGAUAGCGCACAAGUAGAGUGAUCGAAAGAUGAAAAGCACUUUGGAAAGAGAGUUAAAAAGCACGUGAAAUUGUUGAAAGGGAAGCGCCCGCAACCAGACUUUGCGGCGGUGUUCGGCUGGUCUUCUGACCGGUUUACUCGCCGCCGUGAGGCCAUCAUCGUCUGGGACCGCUGGAUAAGACCUGAGGAAUGUAGCUCCCUUCGGGGUGUGUUAUAGCCUCUGGUGAUGCAGCGCGUCUCGGGCGAGGUCCGCGCUUCGGCAAGGAUGAUGGCGUAAUGGUUGUCGGCGGCCCGUCUUGAAACACGGACCAAGGAGUCUAACAUCUAUGCGAGUGUUCGGGUGUCAAACCCCUACGCGUAAUGAAAGUGAACGGAGGUGGGAACUUUUUGUGCACCAUCGACCGAUCCUGAUGUCCUCGGAUGGAUUUGAGUAAGAGCAUAGCUGUUGGGACCCGAAAGAUGGUGAACUAUGCCUGAAUAGGGUGAAGCCAGAGGAAACUCUGGUGGAGGCUCGCAGCGGUUCUGACGUGCAAAUCGAUCGUC
rnacentral:rRNA from 1 species